rnacentral:rRNA from 1 species
CCACCUUUGACAUGGCAGGAAGGCUCCAGAGAUGGGGCUGUGCUCGAAAGAGAACCUGCACACAGGUGCUGCAUGGCUGUCGUCAGCUCGUGUCGUGAGAUGUUGGGUUAAGUCCCGCAACGAGCGCAACCCUUGCCAUUAGUUGCUACGAAAGGGCACUCUAAUGGGACUGCCGGUGACAAGCCGGAGGAAGGUGGGGAUGACGUCAAGUCCUCAUGGCCCUUAUAGGUGGGGCUACACACGUCAUACAAUGGCCGGUACAAAGGGUAGCCAACCCGCGAGGGGGAGCCAAUCCCAUAAAGCCGGUCGUAGUCCGGAUCGCAGUCUGCAACUCGGCUGCGUGAAGUCGGAAUCGCUAGUAAUCGUGGAUCAGCAUGUCACGGUGAAUACGUUCCC